rnacentral:rRNA from 1 species
AUUGAACGCUGGCGGCAUGCUUUACACAUGCAAGUCGAACGGUAACAGCACUUCGGUGGCUGACGAGUGGCGAACGGGUGAGUAAUACAUCGGAACGUGCCUAGUAGUGGGGGAUAACUACUCGAAAGAGUAGCUAAUACCGCAUGAGAUCUAAGGAUGAAAGCAGGGGACCUUCGGGCCUUGCGCUACUAGAGCGGCUGAUGGCAGAUUAGGUAGUUGGUGGGAUAAAAGCUUACCAAGCCGACGAUCUGUAGCUGGUCUGAGAGGACGACCAGCCACACUGGGACUGAGACACGGCCCAGACUCCUACGGGAGGCAGCAGUGGGGAAUUUUGGACAAUGGGCGCAAGCCUGAUCCAGCAAUGCCGCGUGCAGGACGAAGGCCUUCGGGUUGUAAACUGCUUUUGUACGGAACGAAAAGCCCUCUUCUAAUACAGGAGGGUCAUGACGGUACCGUAAGAAUAAGCACCGGCUAACUACGUG